rnacentral:rRNA from 1 species
GGGCAAGCGUUGCUCGGAAUUACUGGGCGUAAAGGGCGCGUAGGCGGGAUGGCAAGUCGGUCGUGAAAUCCUUCGGCUCAACCGAAGAACGUCGAUCGAUACUGCUGUUCUUGAGGGUUGCAGAGGAGACUGGAAUUCCCGGUGUAGCGGUGAAAUGUGUAGAGAUCGGGAGGAACACCGGUGGCGAAGGCGGUUCUCUGGGCAUGUUCUGACGCUGAGGAGCGAAAGUGUGGGGAGCGAACAGG